GCAGUCGAGCGAACAGAUAAGGAGCUUGCUCCUUUGACGUUAGCGGCGGACGGGUGAGUAACACGUGGGUAACCUACCUAUAAGACUGGGAUAACUUCGGGAAACCGGAGCUAAUACCGGAUAACAUUUGGAACCGCAUGGUUCUAAAGUGAAAGAUGGUUUUGCUAUCACUUAUAGAUGGACCCGCGCCGUAUUAGCUAGUUGGUAAGGUAACGGCUUACCAAGGCGACGAUACGUAGCCGACCUGAGAGGGUGAUCGGCCACACUGGAACUGAGACACGGUCCAGACUCCUACGGGAGGCAGCAGUAGGGAAUCUUCCGCAAUGGGCGAAAGCCUGACGGAGCAACGCCGCGUGAGUGAUGAAGGGUUUCGGCUCGUAAAACUCUGUUAUUAGGGAAGAACAAACGUGUAAGUAACUGUGCACGUCUUGACGGUACCUAAUCAGAAAGCCACGGCUAACUACGUGCCAGCAGCCGCGGUAAUACGUAGGUGGCAAGCGUUAUCCGGAAUUAUUGGGCGUAAAGCGCGCGUAGGCGGUUUCUUAAGUCUGAUGUGAAAGCCCACGGCUCAACCGUGGAGGGUCAUUGGAAACUGGGAAACUUGAGUGCAGAAGAGGAAAGUGGAAUUCCAUGUGUAGCGGUGAAAUGCGCAGAGAUAUGGAGGAACACCAGUGGCGAAGGCGACUUUCUGGUCUGUAACUGACGCUGAUGUGCGAAAGCGUGGGGAUCAAACAGGAUUAGAUACCCUGGUAGUCCACGCCGUAAACGAUGAGUGCUAAGUGUUAGGGGGUUUCCGCCCCUUAGUGCUGCAGCUAACGCAUUAAGCACUCCGCCUGGGGAGUACGACCGCAAGGUUGAAACUCAAAGGAAUUGACGGGGACCCGCACAAGCGGUGGAGCAUGUGGUUUAAUUCGAAGCAACGCGAAGAACCUUACCAAAUCUUGACAUCCUUUGAAAACUCUAGAGAUAGAGCCUUCCCCUUCGGGGGACAAAGUGACAGGUGGUGCAUGGUUGUCGUCAGCUCGUGUCGUGAGAUGUUGGGUUAAGUCCCGCAACGAGCGCAACCCUUAAGCUUAGUUGCCAUCAUUAAGUUGGGCACUCUAGGUUGACUGCCGGUGACAAACCGGAGGAAGGUGGGGAUGACGUCAAAUCAUCAUGCCCCUUAUGAUUUGGGCUACACACGUGCUACAAUGGACAAUACAAAGGGCAGCUAAACCGCGAGGUCAUGCAAAUCCCAUAAAGUUGUUCUCAGUUCGGAUUGUAGUCUGCAACUCGACUACAUGAAGCUGGAAUCGCU
rnacentral:rRNA from 1 species